AUUUAAAAUUGUACUAUAUGUGGAAACAUGUAUUAAAAUCAGGUAAUAGGCUAAUUAUGAUAGUUUAAGCGACCGUUUUAGAACCACGGAAUCCGGGGGUGCCUAACACCUUCCCCGGGUUAAUAGAAUUCCUUAUUCAGAAUUUCUGGUUCGCAGACUUCAAAAGAAAAGUCGAAAUUUCCUCGAUUUGGGAUUUUAAAAUAAACCAUCUUCCUAAAUUCGGGUGGACAUCUAUGUGACCCAAAUCCAAAUCUCAAUGGCGUUAAAAUAUGUCAAAAACCAUGGGUGCAUUUAUGUGACGUGGUUCAAGACGUGUUUUAAAAACGUUGCAAAAUUAUUUAAAAAAUUUAAUUUAAAGCGGUAAAUAAUUUAAAAUUGUACUAUAUGUGGAAACAUGUAUUAAAAUCAGGUAAUAGGCUAAUUAUGAUAGUUUAAGCGACCGUUUUAGAACCACGGAAUCCGGGGGUGCCUAACACCUUCCCCGGGUUAAUAGAAUUCCUUAUUCAGAAUUUCUGGUUCGCAGACUUCAAAAGAAAAGUCAAAUUUUCCUCGAUUUGGGAUUUAUAAUAAAUCGGUGACUUGGUACACCAAAUAAACUAUCCCAAGUGGCGACUCUGAAAAAAUCAAAUAAAUAAUCUCAUUUUUAAUAAUGUCACUUUAAUCAGAAAAACUCUCUUAUAUACGUUUAUCCUUCGGGGUAGCCGUGUAAAAAGGAGGUGUGACAGUAAGUAAAUAAGGCAGAGGAUUUUUACAU
rnacentral:lncRNA from 1 species